GACCGUUUCGAUGGCUUAAGUGGUUGAAGCGUCCGCCUCAGACGCGAGAGGUCGCGGGAUUGAACCCCGGCCGAGUUA